rnacentral:rRNA from 1 species
UCUCUUAAUUAAUUUAUGAAGUUACUAUUUAGGUGAAAAAGCCUAAAAGGAGAAAAAGGACGAGAAGACCCUUAGAGUUUUUCUAAAUCUAGGAUUGUUCCUAAGACAGUUUAGUUGGGGCAACAUAGGAGAUAUUAAACCUCCUGUAAUAUACUUACCGAUAAUAAUAAAUAUGAAUAAACUACCUUAGGGAUAACAGCAUAAUUUUAUAAAUAAGUUUGUG